GGGGGCGUGGCGGAAUGGUAGACGCUACGGACUUAAAAUCCGUUGACCUUAAACGGUCGUGUGGGUUCAAGUCCCACCGCCCCCA
rnacentral:tRNA from 2 species